rnacentral:rRNA from 1 species
UGGGGAAUUUUCCGCAAUGGGCGCAAGCCUGACGGAGCAAGACCGCGUGAGGGAGGAAGGCCCUUGGGUUGUAAACCUCUUUUCUCUAGGAAGAAGAUCUGACGGUACUAGAGGAAUCAGCAUCGGCUAACUCCGUGCCAGCAGCCGCGGUAAGACGGAGGAUGCAAGCGUUAUCCGGAAUUAUUGGGCGUAAAGCGUCCGUAGGCGGUUUAUCAAGUCAGUUGUUAAAGACUGCAGCUCAACUGUGGGCGAGCAACUGAAACUGAUUAACUAGAGUGCGGUAGGGGUAGAGGGAAUUCCCAGUGUAGCGGUGAAAUGCGUAGAUAUUGGGAAGAACACCAGUGGCGAAGGCGCUCUACUGGGCCGCAACUGACGCUGAGGGACGAAAGCUAGGGGAGCGAAAGGGAUUAGAUACCCCCGUAGUCC